GACGAACGCUGGCGGCGUGCUUAACACAUGCAAGUCGAACGGAAAGGCCCUGCUUUUGUGGGGUGCUCGAGUGGCGAACGGGUGAGUAACACGUGAGUAACCUGCCCUUGACUUUGGGAUAACUUCAGGAAACUGGGGCUAAUACCGGAUAUGAGCUCCUGCUGCAUGGUGGGGGUUGGAAAGUUUCGGCGGUUGGGGAUGGGCUCGCGGCUUAUCAGCUUGUUGGUGGGGUAGUGGCUUACCAAGGCUUUGACGGGUAGCCGGCCUGAGAGGGUGACCGGCCACAUUGGGACUGAGAUACGGCCCAGACUCCUACGGGAGGCAGCAGUGGGGAAUAUUGCACAAUGGGCGGAAGCCUGAUGCAGCAACGCCGCGUGCGGGAUGACGGCCUUCGGGUUGUAAACCGCUUUCGCCUGUGACGAAGCGUGAGUGACGGUAAUGGGUAAAGAAGCACCGGCUAACUACGUG
rnacentral:rRNA from 1 species